GACGAACGCUGGCGGCGUGCUUAACACAUGCAAGUCGAACGGAAAGGCCCUGCUUUUGUGGGGUGCUCGAGUGGCGAACGGGUGAGUAACACGUGAGUAACCUGCCCUUGACUUUGGGAUAACUUCAGGAAACUGGGGCUAAUACCGGAUAGGAGCUCCUGCUGCAUGGUGGGGGUUGGAAAGUUUCGGCGGUUGGGGAUGGACUCGCGGCUUAUCAGCUUGUUGGUGGGGUAGUGGCUUACCAAGGCUUAGACGGGUAGCCGGCCUGAGAGGGUGACCGGCGACAUUGGGACUGAGAUACGGCCCAGACUCCUACGGGAGGCAGCAGUGGGGAAUAUUGCACAAUGGGCGGAAGCCUGAUGCAGCAACGCCGCGUGCGGGAUGACGGCCUUCGGGUUGUAAACCGCUUUCGCCUGUGACGAAGCGUGAGUGACGGUAAUGGGUAAAGAAGCACCGGCUAACUACGUG
rnacentral:rRNA from 1 species